rnacentral:rRNA from 1 species
UACGUAGGUGGCAGGCGUUGUCCGGAUUUACUGGGUGUAAAGGGCGUGCAGCCGGGCUGACAAGUCAGAUGUGAAAUCCCGCGGCUCAACCGCGGAACUGCAUUUGAAACUGUCAGUCUUGAGUACCGGAGAGGUCAUCGGAAUUCCUUGUGUAGCGGUGAAAUGCGUAGGUAUAAGGAAGAACACCAGUGGCGAAGGCGGAUGACUGGACGGCAACUGACGGUGAGGCGCGAAAGCGUGGGGAGCAAACAGG